GUAAGGAAUAUUGGUCAAUGGACGAAAGUCUGAACCAGCCAUGCCGCGUGAAGGAUGAAGGCCCUCUGGGUUGUAAACUUCUUUUAUCUGGGACGAAAAAAGGGUAUUCUUACUCACUUGACGGUACCAGAGGAAUAAGCACCGGCUAACUCCGUGCCAGCAGCCGCGGUAAUACGGAGGGUGCAAGCGUUAUCCGGAUUCACUGGGUUUAAAGGGUGCGUAAGUGGGUAUUUAAGUCAGUGGUGAAAUCUCCGAGCUUAACUCGGAAACUGCCAUUGAUACUAUUUACCUUGAAUGCCCUGGAGGUAAGCGGAAUAUGUCAUGUAGCGGUGAAAUGCUUAGAUAUGACAUAGAACACCAAUUGCGAAGGCAGCUUACUACGGGGUGAUUGACACUGAGGCACGAAAGCGUGGGGAGCAAACAGGAUUAGAAACCCCUGUAGUCC
rnacentral:rRNA from 1 species